rnacentral:rRNA from 1 species
UACGGAGGGGGCUAGCGUUGUUCGGAAUUACUGGGCGUAAAGCGCACGUAGGCGGCUUUGUAAGUUAGAGGUGAAAGCCCGGGGCUCAACUCCGGAAUUGCCUUUAAGACUGCAUCGCUAGAAUUGUGGAGAGGUGAGUGGAAUUCCGAGUGUAGAGGUGAAAUUCGUAGAUAUUCGGAAGAACACCAGUGGCGAAGGCGGCUCACUGGUCCGGUACUGACGCGUGAGGUGCGAAAGCGUGGGGAGCAAAC